rnacentral:tRNA from 1 species
GGUAAAAUGGCCGAUUAAGGUGAUAAAUUGUAAAUUUAUUAAUGAAUUAUAUUCUUUUACUA